rnacentral:rRNA from 1 species
UCGAAGGGGCGCAGCCUGACCGCCUUCCGCGUGAGUGAAGAAGGCCUUCGGGUUGUAAAGCUCUUUCGCAAGGGAAGAAAGAUUACUCUCUAACAUAGAGUGAUUAUGACGGUACCUUGAUAAGAAGCACCGGCUAACUACGUGCCAGCAGCCGCGGUAAUACGUAGGGUGCGAGCGUUAAUCGGAAUUACUGGGCGUAAAGCGUGCGCAGGCUGUUUUGUAAGUCAGAUGUGAAAUCCCUGAGCUCAACUUAGGAACUGCGUUUGAAACUACAAGACUAGAAUAUGUCAGAGGGGGGUAGAAUUCCACGUGUAGCAGUGAAAUGCGUAGAGAUGUGGAGGAAUACCAAUGGCGAAGGCAGCCCCCUGGGAUAAUAUUGACGCUCAUGCACGAAAG